GACGAACGCUGGCGGCGUGCUUAACACAUGCAAGUCGAACGGUAAGGCCCUUCGGGGUACACGAGUGGCGAACGGGUGAGUAACACGUGGGUGAUCUGCCCUGCACUUCGGGAUAAGCCUGGGAAACUGGGUCUAAUACCGGAUAGGACCACUGCCUGCAUGGGUGGUGGUGGAAAGCUUUUGCGGUGUGGGAUGGGCCCGCGGCCUAUCAGCUUGUUGGUGGGGUGAUGGCCUACCAAGGCGACGACGGGUAGCCGGCCUGAGAGGGUGACCGCCCAAACUGGGCCUGGGAUACGACCCAGACUCCUACGGGAGGCAGCAGUGGGGAAUAUUGCACAAUGGGCGCAAGCCUGAUGCAGCGACGCCGCGUGAGGGAUGACGGCCUUCGGGUUGUAAACCUCUUUCAGCACCGACGAAGCGCAAGUGACGGUAGGUGCAGAAGAAGGACCGGCCAACUACGUGCCAGCCGCCGCCGUAA
rnacentral:rRNA from 1 species